ACUUCCACACUACCCAGAAGAUAACACAUCCCAUCUGAAUUUGGAAGUUAAGCAAGGCUGGUCCUGGUCAGUAUUGAGUUGGGAGACCACCAGGGAAUUCCAAUAAUUC
rnacentral:rRNA from 1 species